rnacentral:rRNA from 1 species
UAGAGUUUGAUCAUGGCUCAGAUUGAACGCUGGCGGCAGGCCUAACACAUGCAAGUCGAACGGUAACAGGAAGCAGCUUGCUGCUUUGCUGACGAGUGGCGGACGGGUGAGUAAUGUCUGGGAAACUGCCCGGUGGAGGGGGAUAACUACUGGAAACGGUAGCUAAUACCGCAUAACGUCGCAAGACCAAAGAGGGGGACCUUCGGGCCUCUUGCCACCGGAUGUGCCCAGAUGGGAUUAGCUUGUUGGUGAGGUAACGGCUCACCAAGGCGACGAUCCCUAGCUGGUCUGAGAGGAUGACCAGCCACACUGGAACUGAGACACGGUCCAGACUCCUACGGGAGGCAGCAGUGGGGAAUAUUGCACAAUGGGCGCAAGCCUGAUGCAGCCAUGCCGCGUGUAUGAAGAAGGCCUUCGGGUUGUAAAGUACUUUUCAGCGGGGAGGAAGGGAUUGUGGUUAAUAACCGCAGUCAUUGACGUUACCCGCAGAAGAAGCACCGGCUAACUCCGUGCCAGCAGCCGCGGUAAUACGGAGGGUGCAAGCGUUAAUCGGAAUUACUGGGCGUAAAGCGCACGCAGGCGGUCUGUCAAGUCGGAUGUGAAAUCCCCGGGCUCAACCUGGGAACUGCAUUCGAAACUGGCAGGCUUGAGUCUCGUAGAGGGGGGUGGAAUUCCAGGUGUAGCGGUGAAAUGCGUAGAGAUCUGGAGGAAUACCGGUGGCGAAGGCGGCCCCCUGGACGAAGACUGACGCUCAGGUGCGAAAGCGUGGGGAGCAAACAGGAUUAGAUACCCUGGUAGUCCACGCCGUAAACGAUGUCUACUUGGAGGUUGUGCCCCUGAGGCGUGGCUUCCGGAGCUAACGCGUUAAGUAGACCGCCUGGGGAGUACGGCCGCAAGGUUAAAACUCAAAUGAAUUGACGGGGGCCCGCACAAGCGGUGGAGCAUGUGGUUUAAUUCGAUGCAACGCGAAGAACCUUACCUGGUCUUGACAUCCACGGAAGACUGCAGAGAUGCGGUUGUGCCUUCGGGAACCGUGAGACAGGUGCUGCAUGGCUGUCGUCAGCUCGUGUUGUGAAAUGUUGGGUUAAGUCCCGCAACGAGCGCAACCCUUAUCCUUUGUUGCCAGCGGUCCGGCCGGGAACUCAAAGGAGACUGCCAGUGAUAAACUGGAGGAAGGUGGGGAUGACGUCAAGUCAUCAUGGCCCUUACGACCAGGGCUACACACGUGCUACAAUGGCAUAUACAAAGAGAAGCGACCUCGCGAGAGCAAGCGGACCUCAUAAAGUAUGUCGUAGUCCGGAUUGGAGUCUGCAACUCGACUCCAUGAAGUCGGAAUCGCUAGUAAUCGUGGAUCAGAAUGCCACGGUGAAUACGUUCCCGGGCCUUGUACACACCGCCCGUCACACCAUGGGAGUGGGUUGCAAAAGAAGUAGGUAGCUUAACCUCCGGGAGGGCGCUUACCACUUUGUGAUUCAUGACUGGGGUGAAGUCGUAACAAGGUAGCCGUAA